rnacentral:rRNA from 1 species
AGUGAACGCUGGCGGUAGGCCUAACACAUGCAAGUCGAACGACCGCACAGUAAGAUCUUGCUCUUACGGGUGGCGAGUGGCGGACGGGUGAGGAAUACAUCGGAAUCUACUUUUUCUUGGGGGAUAUCGGAGGGAAACUUCCGAUAAUACCUCAUACGUCCUACGGGUGAAAGCAGGAGUUCUUCGCACCUUGCCCGAUACAUUGAGCCGAUGUCGGAUUAGCUAGUUGGCGGGGUAAAGGCCCACCAAGGCGACGAUCCGUAGCUGGUCUGAGAGGAUGAUCAGCCACACUGGAACUGAGACACGGUCCAGACUCCUACGGGAGGCAGCAGUGGGGAAUAUUGGACAAUGGGCGCAAGCCUGAUCCAGCCAUACCGCGUGGGUGAAGAAGGCCUUCGGGUUGUAAAGCCCUUUUGUUGGGAAAGAAAAGCAGCAGGCUAAUACCCCGCUGUUCUGACGGUACCCAAAGAAUAAGCACCGGCUAACUUCGUG